AUCCGGUUGAGACGAGUCCCAAAUAGGACGAAACGCACGUCCUGGAU
rfam:Schistosoma rodhaini strain Burundi genome assembly, scaffold: SROB_scaffold0000385